rnacentral:rRNA from 1 species
GACGAACCGUGCGAACGUUAUUCGGAAUCAUUGGGCUUAAAGGGCGCGUAGGCGGCGGCGUAAGUUGGAAGUGAAAUCCCAUCGGCUCAACCGUGGAAUCGCUCCCAGUACUGCGUCGCUCGAGGGGGAUAGGGGUCUGCGGAACUACCGGUGGAGCGGUGAAAUGUGUUGAUAUCGGUGGGAACGCCAGUGGCGAAAGCGGCAGGCUUGACCCUUCCUGACGCUGAGGCGCGAAAGCUAGGGGAGCAAACAGG